CCUACGGGAUGCAGCAGUGAGGAAUAUUGGUCAAUGGGCGCGAGCCUGAACCAGCCAAGUAGCGUGAAGUAUUACUGCCCUACGGGUUGUACACUUCUUUUAUCAAGGAAUAAAGUGAGGCACGUGUGCCUUUUUGUCUGUACUUUAUUAAUAAGGAUCGGCUAACUCCGUGCCAGCAGCCGCGGUAAUACGGAGGUACCGAGCGUUAUCCGGAUUUAUUGGGUUUAAAGGGAGCGGAGAUGGGUUGUUAAGUCAGUUGUGAAAGUUUGCGGCUUAACCGUACAAGUGCAAUUGAUACUGGCAGUCUUGAGUACAGUUGAGGUAGGCGGAAUUCGUGGUGUAGCGGUGAAAUGCUUAGAUAUCACGAAGAACUCCGAUUGCGAAGGCAGCUUACUAAACUGCCACUGACAUUGAUGCUCGAAAGUGUGGGUAUCAAACAGGAUUAGAUACCCUUGUAGUC
rnacentral:rRNA from 1 species